rnacentral:lncRNA from 1 species
UUGGCUGAUGGCAAAACAAAACGCAUCAACUGUGAUUGGGUUGGCUGAUGGCAGAACAAAACGCAUCAGCUGCGACUGGGUUGGUUGAUGGCAGAACAAAACAUAUCAGUUGGUGCUGGAAACAAAAACGGGAAAACGAAGAAGAACACAAAAGCGACGACGACAACAAGGAGGACAUCAUCAAAUGUUUGGAUUUUUAGUCUUAUUUUUUAUGUUACGUUCAUUAAUGUUUGCUCUUACAAAUACAAAAUCUAUAAGUUUUUUUUUUAAAUAAAAGAGUGAUUGUAUAAUGAAGAUAAAGAGCAACAAAUUUAUGCCUAUUUGUUUAGCCUAUUUGUUUUUAUCUGAUUAUGUUCAUCUGUUGGAUAUAACUGAUUUGUUGGGUUAAAGAGUAUUUUUUAUUUGCAGAUUUGGUUAAUUUUUUAUAUGAUUCAACUACAGUUGUUUUUUAGUUUUUUUAGUUUUUUUUUUUUUCAAACUUAGAAUUUUGUCUAUUUGCUUUGUAUCAUGUGAAUAAUGGCUAAGGGCAAAGGAAAUUGCUUUUUCAUUAAUUAAUUUAUUACAUACCAUUUUUGCCAUAUUUGGUGCAGCAUCAGAAAACAAAAGCAAUGCAGGCUAGCAGAAGUUGGCACCAUAAGGAGAAAGUUGACUUGUUUAAGAUUAUAAUUUGAUUUGGUUUAAUGUUUAAAAUUGUAAUUUGAUUUAGCUUAAUGUAAUUUGAUGAGACAAAAUAAG